ACCAUGCACCUCCCGCACCUGAUUGGACUCCAAAAGGUUGAAGACUCAUCCAAAACCAACUCACAGACCCCAACUCUCUCCCUCACAAUCCUCUCAGCCUCUCUCCUUCUUUUGUUUCCUAACCCUAGCCGCAACAUUCCUCCCUCUCAUCAUCUGUCUCUCUGCUCUAUCUCUCGUCAUCUGUGUGUCUCUCUCUGCUCUACCUAUUACUUUCUUCAUCUAUUAGUCUCUAACUCUCGUUUUCAUAUCUCUGCAAUUUUUUAUUAUAGAGAAAUCUCUGUGAAAAUUAGAAGAAUUAACUCGAUACAAAGAUGGUGAACGCUGAAGCAGCUCGAAACGUCGUCGACAUCAUUGGUUUUCACUUUCUAAUUUCUAUUUAGAUGCAUUUGCAGACAAGUCAAACACUCAGAAGCAUUUCUUUGGUUUACUUCUUCUAUGAGUUGGGAAUGGUCGGCAUCAGCUCUGUAUUACUGGUAUCUUUCCCCUUAAACUUAAUGAAGCCAUCACUUAUAA